rnacentral:lncRNA from 1 species
UGGCCUCGCCCCAGCCUCUCUUGUACUGCCUUUGGCCAAUAAUAAUUCAUCAAGCAUUUGUUUGCCAUGAGCCUAUGAGACAGGAUCGUCUGCCCAAGUGGAAUCAGAAGCAUUUCACCUAAGAAUUGGGAAGAAUUUCAUGUCUGCUUGAAAAUAUGCUUUUCCAGGGCAGUUUUCCCUGCUCAUCUAUAAUUAUGGAAUUGAACAAUCCUGCUCUCUGACUCUGUCAAGCCGUGCUUCUAGGUAAAGGAGCUUGGUCACACUCAUUUGGUUACUGAUAUAGAAACUCAAAUCUGGAAGCAACUGUGCUGGAAAAGGGUAGUGCGAGAAAGGGUCUUUACAGAUGAAAUUCAUAAGAUAAGAUGAAGUCAUGCUGGAUUAGGGUGGGCCUAAUAACCGGUGCCGUUAUAAGAAGAGGACAGGAUCCACAGAGAAUCCCUAGAGCAGAAGGCCAUCUAAAGGCAGAAGCAGAGACUGGAGUAAUACGCCCACCAGGGAAGGUAGGUUUGCCAGAGAAAAUCGCAUGCCGACCUCACCUUGUCCGUGGACCAGCACACAAGCCAUGCCUGGACACCUCCCUCCACCAAGGCUGCCAGUCAGGGGAUUUCAGCUUCUACUCAGCAGGGGGAAGAAAAAUGGACCAUGUUAGAACAAAUAACAUAGCGAUGAACUCUGUGGAUGGUGGAGUUGUUCUGUGUGCUCCAAUUCCUAUCGAGAUUGUGCCUAACUCAUCAUGAAUCUCAGCAGCAGCAGCAUGGACACUAUCACCAGCAGAAGCGUUUGCAAGUAUCCAAUUAUGGGUUAGAGACUCUGCAAGGAAAUUACAUUUACCCAGCAC